ensembl:lncRNA ROCR regulator of chondrogenesis RNA
GGGAGGCCAGCGGCUCUCCUGCCUCAGCAGACACCCGCAGGCUGAGCGAGAGAGCUUCCCUUCCAAACACUGCAAAGAGUCUCCGAGGAGGAAAAGGAUCUUGCAGAAGAGCCAGGAAGCCAGGAUUGAAACUGUUGCCGGCAUUGGCAGGGCCCGGGCUGGAACUGUCUGCUCUCCUAUCCUCUGGCUCAGUGGGAAUCCCAUCGCCUCUCUGACAUCAUGGAUGAAAAUCAGCCCUGGCUUUCAUGUGUUGGGACCGCCCCACCCAGCUCAGUCCGGCCAGCUGGACCCUCCCAAAACGGGUUCUCUUUUGUCAGCUGCCUUUUAUAGAACUAUAAAACUAAAAGUUCAAGUACGAAGCCCUUACAUCAGUCAUCAAAAAAGGCAGACUUCGCCUCCCAGACUCCUUCUGCCUCUUUCCCUGCAUUGUGGCUUCCUGCUCUCCGGCAGAGCUGCUAGGCUGCUGGCUUCCAUUUCUCAGCCUCGUAAAGAUCCUAUAACACCAAAUGGGGCAUUAACCUGCCUAGGAGGGGGUUCUGGAUCUGUGCUUUGGAAUUAGGGGAAAGGGAAGAGAAGGGGGGAUCUUACGCUGCAACUAUGUGGGGGAAAGGAAAGAUACUUCUGUAAUAAAGUGAAAUGGCAUAGAGUUGGAAACGGGAAAAGAGACAACACAGGACCACAGUCGAUGAGGCAGAGUGAGACUUCCGCCAAAUAACUGUGACCUUUGAAAUUUCAAACUGCCUCUCUAGGCAUUUGAAUCUCUUGGCCAAAGCAUAAGUGAGUAGGGUGGUGGAACACCAGAUGAUCCUAUGCUCAGCAGAGUUUAAAAGGGAGGGAGUAUUAAACAUGUUGGAGCUUGAGAAGAAGAGUGGAAUUCUCACCUCCUCAGCUCAAGACCUGGGCCGUAGUGGGCACUAGAUUAAUCAUGGCUGCAGAAAGAAGUGAAUGGCUGACCUCAAUCAGUUUCAAUGCCUUAACAAAAGAUUGGACUAAGAUUAUUGAUAAAGGUCUUAGUGAUUCUUGGAUCAAUGAGAUGACUUCUACGGUUUAGGAAGCUCCAUGUACACUCUAAACACAUAAGAAAAGUCAAAGCCAAAUGGAACUCACCCAGCAGUCCAAAAUGGUGGCUGGGUCAACAAUGCUGCACCUAUGGGAUCAUCGUGUUCCCUGGCUUUACCUUUGAAGCGUGUGGUCUAGCUGCAGCUUAAAGGAUUAAUGUGAAGUGCAAGGAAAUGUGUGCGGAGUCUUGCUCUGUCACCAGGCUGGAGUGCAGUGGUGUGAUCUCGGCUCACUGCAACCUCCACCUCCCAGUUCAAGCAAUUCUCCUGCCCCAGCCUCCCGAGUAGCUGGGACUACAGGGGCAGUAAGGAAAGAAUGAUUCAUUUUGACUGUGAUUGCUGGGAAAGAUAUCUUGAAAUGGAGACUGUGAGUACCCUCUCCAAGCCAUGAGAUGGAAGAGUGUCCUUAUAUGAAGACUGCUGGAGUUCCAUUGGCUGGAAGUGCCUCAGGCUGUGGCUGGUGUUUGAAGGGCUGCUCCACACAUAUCAAUCAUCCUUUGACAAGAUCUGGAAGAAAAAAAAAAA